UACGAAGGGGGCUAGCGUUGCUCGGAAUGACUGGGCGUAAAGGGCGCGUAGGCGGCUUGCACCGUCAGAUGUGAAAUUCCUGGGCUUAACCUGGGGGCUGCAUUUGAUACGUGUGGGCUUGAGUGCGGAAGAGGGUCGUGGAAUUCCCAGUGUAGAGGUGAAAUUCGUAGAUAUCGGAAAGAACACCAACGGCGAAAGCACUCUGCUGGGCCGACACUGACACUGAGAGACGAAAGCUAGGGGAGCGAAUGGG
rnacentral:rRNA from 1 species